rnacentral:rRNA from 1 species
GGAGGUGGCGAGCGUUGUUCGGAUUUACUGGGCGUAAAGGGUGCGUAGGCGGUUUUGUGUGUCGGGUGUGAAAUCUCACCGUCCAACGGUGAAACUGCAUUCGAAACUGCAGGACUAGAGUACAGGAGGGGAGAGCGGAAUUCUCGGUGUAGCGGUGAAAUGCGUAGAUAUCGAGAAGAACGCCGGUGGCGAAGGCGGCUCUCUGGACUGAUACUGACGCUGAGGCACGAAAGCUGGGGUAGCGAAGAGGAUUAGAUACCCUCGUAGUCCCAGCCGUAAACGGUGUGCACUUGGUGUGGGUGGCUUUGUCCCCAUCCGUGCCGUAGCUAACGCGUUAAGUGCACCGCCUGGGGAGUACGGCCGCAAGGCUA